CUCAAGGGCUCAUGGGGUGGAGGCGCCCUCGAACCCACCGCAGGAGGGCCCUGGUGGCCUCUUAAGCACACGGCUCUGGGAGCUCUGACCCCCCCCACCCCGCCCCCCCUGUGCCGGGAUGUCCUUUGUGUGCGCCUGUGUUUAUUCGGUCAAGGGCUGGGUCAGGGACUUGGAGUCCCAGCCUCGUGAGGAAAUGGGGGUGGGGGGCUCCCUUGUUCUCCCCCAGGACAACCGGAUGGCCCUGGGUCCUGAGACAAUAGGCCCAGGGAGGGGCCAGGUGCUGGGCUGGGGCAGGAAAAGGACAACUUAAAGAUAAACACGGACCCGCCCACGGACUUGAACUUGGGCCGCAGAGAGGUGCCCCAGGGAGCCCAAGGGAGCCGUGCUGGGGUCGGAGUGGGCGGCGUGUCCAGACAUAGUAACAGCUGUAGUGCUGAGUGUGUGGUUGGCUUCGAGCCUCUUGAAGAUGCCAGACCACCCCCCCAGACCUAUCAUCACCCCCUUGAUAUGGGAAACUGAGGUGCAGGGGGACGUGUCCAAGGCCACGAGCUGAGCCACGGCAGAGUCCACUUUGAACCUGGGUACCCUUCCCGCCUCUGCAUCUUGAAGCUGGGCACCCCCCCAUAUCUAGGAUGUGCCCACCCCCACUCCCGCGUUGCUUCCAGCUGCCACCCAGGGCAGAGGCUGAGCCCCCCCGGGAAAGGUAGGAAGGAUGCACCCCAUUCCUCUGGUCUGGGACUCUGGACUCUGGAGAUUUCUGCCCACAUGAUUUGGGGGGGGGAGGUCACAUCCGUUCUUACACGUGUGAGGCGGGGGGGUUCCUAUGGCGCAAGACCGCUCCCCCUGCAUGUCCUGUGCCCACGACCUUGGUCUCAGGGUGUCAUCAGUAGACCCCAGGGCCUUGGAAUUCUCUGCAGAACCCUACACCACAGCCACAGCAACGCUGGAUCCUUAACCCACUGAGCAAGGCCAGGGAUCGAACCCACGACCUCAUGGUUCCUAGUCGGAUUCGUUUCUGCUGCGCCAAGACGGGAAUUCUCAGAACAUUUUUCAUCUUCCUAAACUGAAACUCUGUCCCCACUAAACACCAACCCCCAGCAAGCGACCUGCCCCCGCAGCCCCCGACACCCGCUGUUCUAUGCUCCGUCUCUGUGGAUCUGACUCCUCUAGGGAGCUCCUGUGAGUAGAAUCCUACAGGAUCUCUCUGUCUCUUGUUCACUCAGCACUGCGUCCUCAAGAUUCAUUGCGUCGUAGCAGGCAUCAGUGCUUUUUAAGGCUGAAUAAUAUUCCAUUGGGUGUGUGUUUCACAUUUAGUUAUUGAGCCACCUGUUGGUGGGCACUGGGGUUGCUUCUGUGUUCGGGCUGUUGUGAGCGGUGUGAUACACGCGUGUGUGCCCACAUCUGCACGAGUGCCUGCCCUUGGUUCUUCCCAUGCGUGUCCUCCAGAGCCUCGCCUGCACCGGGGCGUUGUGUAAGUGGAGUGCUGUGUGCCGCAGGCGCCCUGCAGCCUGGCUGCCUCUGCGUGACAUGCUGUCUGUGACAUGCAUCCAGGUCGCUGAGAUUCGUGCCAUCAGCACAGUUGUUGAUCUGUUCUUUGGCUGAUGGACACCCACUCGGGGCUGUUCUGAAUGGAGAGCUGGGGGCCGUGACCCAGAGAGCCAGGCUGACAGGACAGGACUUCUGCACGCAGCCCACACUGCUCUGGGCAGCUCCCUGGACGAGGCUUCUCCCUGGUGCCAGUCCAGACCUGAGACGUGGCCUCUGCCCCCAAGCGCUCCAGGUGCCUGACAAGGAAGAGAGCUGCCGUUGAGAUGGAGGUGGGGCAGUGGCCGAGCGAAGCUUUGCCCUCUGUGCUGCUGGCUGACUCCACGGUUCCUAUCUGAUGGUGCCAAGAUUAUAAACCAGCAAGCGAGCUGGUCCUGCAAACGGGCUUCCUCGUGGAGGCCCACCAGCUGUCGCACCUGGCUCGUCGCCCAGCCCACCCCUGGCAGGCCCCCAUCCUGGCCUCCUGGGGCCCCUGCGAGGUGUCCUGGGGUGUGGGGUUCUACCGAAUGGGGAACCCGGUCCUCCCUGCUUCCUUCUCUGCUCUGCCGGGCUGGGGUGGGUCUGUGGAGUUAUUCCAGAAGCCCCAGGCCCCAUCCCUCAGUUAACAGGGAAGCUUUUCCAGGCCAGCAGGGAAGCAGCGGAGGGUAAAGGUUGGCCUCCUUAUCAGGGCUCCCUGGAGGGAAGGAUGAGAAAACAAAGCCACCGCAGCCCUCUGGGCGUGACAGUUGCUGAUAAGAGGAAGGCCGGCUGGGUGGUUUGUGGUGACACCCAGUGAAAGCAGAAGUGGGUGGGACCCCGGCUAAUCUGGAGCUGCAUGUGGUCAGGACCCCUGCCCCAAGGCCAGGGACCAAGAGGCCAAAACAAAUUAGCCCCUAGCCCAGGGCCCUUGGGGACCGUUUUUUUUUCACCUUCCUCCCACUUUGCUGGAAGGUAUUGUGUGACUGCAGGCCCCCCCCCACAAGGAUCAGUUUUCCAAAUGCCUUCAGGGGUGGGCCUCAAGGGCCAGGCCUGCCUCUACCUUCUGUGGUUCCCUAUGUGCAUUCAUGGAGCACCUGCUGUAUACCUGGCCAGCACUCAGUGACGACCUGUAUGCCAGACUUGGGGAUUCAGGAAGAGACAGGAAAAGCUGGCUGGUCAGGACAGGGGCAGCCAGAGGGGUUCAUGAUGGCACAGACCCCAAGGGCGCUGAGAAAGCGGGGGGACUUGGAGGGGAUGUCUAAGGGGAAGUGUCCCGAACCGGGAGGCCCUGCAACUGCCUGAGGAUUAGAAGAACUGGCCGGGUCACCAGCCAAGCGUCUGUGGGUUUGGCUCAAGGCCAGGACGCUCUGAGUGCUCCACGGGGGCCCCACUGGCUCGCUUCCUUUAGGGAAGUGGGCUCGGGCUUAGAUCAAGGCUCCUCAAAAAGGGGAAGCAGAACCCUCUUGGUGAACUGACAGUGACGUUGGCUCCAUGGCGUAAGAAGAGAUGAGGGCCCUUCCCGAAGCUUCGGGGGCCAAGCCGCCUCCGUUCCCAGGGAAGAGAAGGCCUCCGAGGUGCCUGCCACUUGGCAAACCUGUGCUCGAGCAGUCCCCUCCCUGGGUCAAUCUCGGGCAGGGGCCUGUGACAUUUGCCACACCUUCCAGAUAACGGGAUCCUGGGGCUGCAUGGAACGUUCUAGGCUUUCACCCACACUCAGUGCUGGGAGAAAAUGGAGGUAGAGAGAUGUCAGGGGCCACCAGCAGCAGGUGGGUUUGGACCCAGGCCACCUGGCCCCCGGCUCCUACCCCAGCCCAGGAGGCUGCCUGAUCUGCAGUGGCCAACCCACCUGCCUCCAGGAAGGGACCCCACACCAGCGAGCAGGGGCUGGGAAAAGGUGGGGGCCGUGGGGCCUCCGAGAAGCAGGCAUGGCUGUCUAGGCCACCGGUCAGACUAUCAGGACUGCUCAUGGGCCUCGACCAGGAAAGGAAGGUUCCAGAAUGUCAAGGCCUGGCCCUGUGGAGGCCGGCAAGGUGCGGGUUGUAUCACCUGGAGGGCACACGCUCCAGGAGUUUGGAGGAGCGGGAGACAAGGGGGCCUGAUGAAGGGGUCCCUGUGAGCCCCCCGCCCCCACCCCCCGUCAGUAGGACCCAUCCCAACAGGUGGGGCAAGAAGGAGGCUUUUGCUCCUCACCGUUCCUGGGGGGCCCCUUAAGGCGGCAGUGAGGGAUCGAAGCAGGGAAGAGGCUCAAGUCUGCCCGAUGGGCGCCCAGCGGCAGCUGCAGGCAACGUUUGAUGGGGCAGAGGACCCAGGGCCUAGAACGGGGGCCUCAGGUUAUCAGCGUGGGGCAGUGGGCUCUGCUCCCGCCAUCCCCAUGACGGCGGGUCAUCCAGGCUUAGCUGCCAUGAGGAGACGACUACUUUUCUUUCUUUCUUUUUUUGCUUUUUAGGGCCACUCCCGCGGCAUAUGGAGGUUCCCAGGCUAGGGGUCCAAUCAGAGCUACAGCUGCCGGCCUACACCACAGCCACAGCAAUGCCAGAUCCUUAACCCACAGAGCGAGGCCAGGAAUCGAACCCGCAACCUCAUGGUUCCUGGUCGGAUUCAUUAACCACUGAGCCACGUCAGGAACUCCGGAGGAGCCCAUCUUGAUUUUGAUUUUCACAGGCAUCUGCUGGGGGCAGGGGGACAGGAAGAGGGUCAGACAGACUCCAGGCUCCGCUCCUGGGAGCUCAGUGAUUCUUGGCGCCAAGUCAAGCUUUAGAAAUUCAAAGGCUAAGUGAGGAGACACAGGCUGCUUGGCCAGAUCGACCUGUGGUCACCUCUGCUGCCCCAGGCCCCGAGCUGGGGGAGGGCUUCCAACUCCAGCUCCCCUACAGGAGGACCCCCUCCCCCUGAGAAGCUUCCAGAGUCCUUCCCCCAUCUGGUUUCUCACCCGGCCCCCCUGCUGAGGCAGUGCUCCCCCCCCCGUUGCCUUGUAUCCAAUCAGGCAUCAUUCAUUUAUUCACUUAUUCAGAGCUGUCCCCUCUGAGCACCAGGUGCCAUGCUGGGCACCAGGGAUGGGGACGCCACCUAAGCCUCACAGAGAAAGGAGUUCCCGUUGUGGCUCAGCCGAUUAAGAACCCAACUAGUAUCCCUGAGGACCCAGGUUCGAUCCCUGGCCUCGCUCAGUGGGUUAAGGAUCCACCGGCGUUGCCAUGGGCUGUGGUGUAGGUCACAGACGUGGCUCGGAUCUGGCAUUGCUGUGGCUGCGGCUGUGGUGUAGGUCGACACUUGCAGCUCCGAUUCAACCCUUAGCUUGGGAACCUCUAUAUGC
rnacentral:lncRNA from 1 species